rnacentral:rRNA from 1 species
UGAAUGGGGAAACCCACUUACAUAAGUAAGUAUCCUGUUGUGAAUACAUAGCAACAGGAGGCAAACCGGGGGAACUGAAACAUCUAAGUACCCCGAGGAAGAGAAAUCAACCGAGAUUCCGAAAGUAGCGGCGAGCGAAAUUGGAUUAGCCCUUAAGCUUUUAAUGAUGCAGGUGAAGAGUCUGGAAAGUCUCGCAAUAAAGGGUGAUAGCCCCGU